AACGAACGUUAGCGGCGCGCCUAACACAUGCAAGUCGAGCGAGAAGGAAGCAAUUCCUGUAAAGCGGCGCACGGGUGAGUAACACGUAGGUAAUCUACCUCGAAGUGGUGGAUAACCUUCCGAAAGGAGGGCUAAUACAGCAUGAGACCACGGUUUCGAAAGAGAUUGAGGUCAAAGCGGGCCACUAUACAUAAGCUCGCGCUUCGAGAUGAGCCUGCGGCCCAUCAUGGUAGUUGGUAGGGUAAUGGCCUACCAAGCCGAAGACGGGUAGCUGGUCUGAGAGGAUGAUCAGCCACACUGGAACUGAGACACGGUCCAGACUCCUACGGGAGGCAGCAGUGGGGAAUCUUGCGCAAUGGGCGAAAGCCUGACGCAGCGACGCCGCGUGAGUGAUGAAGGCCUC
rnacentral:rRNA from 1 species